AUACGGAGGGUGCAAGCGUUACUCGGAAUCACUGGGCGUAAAGCGCGCGCAGGCGGGCUGAUAAGUUGGAUGUGAAAGCCUACGGCUCAACCGUAGAACUGCAUCCAAAACUGUCUGUCUAGAGUCUGGGAGGGGAAGAUGGAAUUAGUUGUGUAGGGGUAAAAUCCGUAGAGAUAACUAGGAAUACCAAAAGCGAAGGCGAUCUUCUGGAACAGUACUGACGCUGAGGCGCGAAAGCGUGGGGAGCAAACAGGAUUAGAAACCCUAGUAGUCC
rnacentral:rRNA from 1 species